GAUGAACGCUCGCGGCAGGCCUAACACAUGCAAGUCGAGGGAUAAGCCUUCGGGCUCAGCCCGGCGCACGGGUGCGUAACGCGUAUACAAUCUGCCUUUUAUCCGGGGGAUAGCCCGAAGAAAUUUUGAUUAAUACCCUAUGGUAUAAGAGCACGGCAUCGUGCACUUAUUAAAGCUACGGCGGUAAAAGAUGAGUAUGCGUUCUAUUAGCUAGUUGGAGAGGUAACGGCUCCCCAAGGCGACGAUAGAUAGGGGUUCUGAGAGGGAUGUCCCCCACACUGGUACUGAGAUACGGACCAGACUCCUACGGGAGGCAGCAGUGAGGAAUAUUGGACAAUGGUCGGAAGACUGAUCCAGCCAUGCCGCGUGCAGGAUGACGGCCUUAUGGGUUGUAAACUGCUUUUGUAAGGGAAGAAUAAGGAGUACGUGUACUUUGAUGACGGUACCUUACGAAUAAGCAUCGGCUAACUCCGUG
rnacentral:rRNA from 1 species